rnacentral:tRNA from 1 species
GAGGAUGUAGCUCAGCAGUAGAGUGUGUGUCUAGCAUGCAUAAGGUCCUGAGUUCAAUCCCCAGUACCUCCA